GUCGGAAUUAUCGAAUAUUUAAUCAAUUAGUGGUCGGGUUGGAGUCGUGAUGGAGUCUUGAAGAGUCGAGUUCAGGUCAUGUACAUUCGGAUAACAGUCUGAUAGGAGUCGUAAACAGGCCCGAUCAAAAAUUUGGUUACGCUUAGUCGUAAGAAUUUGAACAAUCGGGAUCAUCGAGUUGAUCUGAUCGGCAGUGUGAAAUGGUGCGUCGUGUGUUUAGUGGAGAAGCAGCAUGUUACAG
rnacentral:lncRNA from 1 species